rnacentral:rRNA from 1 species
GACAGAGGAGACAAGCGUUGUUCGGAAUUACUGGGCUUAAAGCGCGCGUAGGCGGCCAAGUAAGUGUCCCGUGAAAUCCCAUGGCUCAACCAUGGAAAUGCGGGGCAUACUGCUUGGCUUGAGGUCGGUAGGGGUGCCUGGAACUCUAGGUGGAGCGGUGAAAUGCGUAGAUAUCUAGAGGAACGCCUGCAGCGAAAGCGGGGCACUGGGCCGAUUCUGACGCUGAGGCGCGAAAGCGUGGGGAGCAAACAGG